CCCUUAGAUGUCCUGGGCUGCACGCGCGCUACACUGACAUGUUCAACAAGCCUCCUAGUUCGACAGGAUUUGGGAAAUCUUUGAACGCAUGUCGUGAUAGGGAUAGAUCAUUGCAAUUAUUGAUCUUGAACGAGGAAUUCCUAGUAAACGCGAGUCAUCAGCUCGCAUUGAUUACGUCCCUGCCCUUUGUACACACCGCCCGUCGCACCUACCGAUUGAAUGUUUCGGUGAAGAUUCCGGAUAGGACUUUUUUGAUUUAUUUCAAUUUUGUCUUAAAAGCUAUCUAAACCUCAACAUUUAGAGGAAGGUGAAGUCGUAACA
rnacentral:rRNA from 1 species